rnacentral:rRNA from 1 species
GAUGAACGCUGGCGGCGUGCCUAAUACAUGCAAGUCGAGCGAACGGACGAGAAGCUUGCUUCUCUGAUGUUAGCGGCGGACGGGUGAGUAACACGUGGAUAACCUACCUAUAAGACUGGGAUAACUUCGGGAAACCGUAGCUAAUACCGGAUAAUAUUUUGAACCGCAUGGUUCAAAAGUGAAAGACGGUCUUGCUGUCACUUAUAGAUGGAUCCGCGCUGCAUUAGCUAGUUGGUAAGGUAACGGCUUACCAAGGCAACGAUGCAUAGCCGACCUGAGAGGGUGUUCGGCCCCACUGGAACUGAGACACGGUCCAGACUCCUACGGGCGGCAGCAGUAGGGAAUCUUCCGCGAUGGGCGGAGGCCUGGCGGUGCAACGCCGCGUGAGUGAUGGCGGUCUUCGGAUCGUAUGACUCUGUUAUUAGGGAAGCACAUAUGUGUGAGUAACUGUGCACAUCUUGACGGUCCCUCGUCAGACGGCCGCGGCUAGCUUCGUG